rnacentral:rRNA from 1 species
CUGCUAAUACCGCAUAAGCCCACAGCUCGGCAUCGAGCAGAGGGAAAAGGAGUGAUCCGCUNUGAGAUGGCCUCGCGUCCGAUUAGCUAGUUGGUGAGGUAACGGCCCACCAAGGCGACGAUCGGUAGCCGGACUGAGAGGUUGAACGGCCACAUUGGGACUGAGACACGGCCCAGACUCCUACGGGAGGCAGCAGUGGGGAAUAUUGCACAAUGGGGGAAACCCUGAUGCAGCGACGCCGCGUGGAGGAAGAAGGUCUUCGGAUUGUAAACUCCUGUUGUUGAGGAAGAUAAUGACGGUACUCAACAAGGAAGUGACGGCUAACUACGUGCCAGCAGCCGCGGUAAAACGUAGGUCACAAGCGUUGUCCGGAAUUACUGGGUGUAAAGGGAGCGCAGGCGGGAAAGCAAGUUGGAAGUGAAAUCCAUGGGCUCAACCCAUGAACUGCUUUCAAAACUGUUUUUCUUGAGUAGUGCAGAGGUAGGCGGAAUUCCCGGUGUAGCGGUGGAAUGCGUAGAUAUCGGGAGGAACACCAGUGGCGAAGGCGGCCUACUGGGCACCAACUGACGCUGAGGCUCGAAAGUGUGGGUAGCAAACAGG